AAGGAAGGACCCACAUCGCAGCCGCACACACACAACAGUAGAGCCGCAUCCGCAGCGCCGAGGGGAGGGAGGAGGAGGAGACGCCGCGACGGCGACGCGAGGAAGAAGAAGAAGAAGCAGCAGCAGCAUCCCCCACCCAAAAGCGAUUCCCAGCAGCAGCUCCUAAGAACCGGAGGGGAUCGCCCGCCGAUUCCAUCGCCACCCGCGCCCCGACCACCACCGCCCGCCCGCCCCUUUCCGACCCUAGGGUUGCGGGUGCCUGGGGUGGGUUCCGACCCGCGAGGCUCCCACCCUAGGGUGCGGCCGCCUCCUCGUCCCGCCCCCCCGCCGCUCUCUGCUGCUUGGCUUAGGUUAGGGUUCGACUCUGGGGGGAGGGGCGUCCUCCUCCUCCGCCGCCCCCGCCGCCAAUGCCUCCCGGCGGUAGGCGCGGCGCCAAGCAGGGCCCCAAGUGGACCAGGGAACCCCAGCUCGGCGACCUCGUCCUCGCCAAGAUCAAGGGAUACCCGGCCUGGCCAGCCAAGAUCAGCAGGCCUGAGGACUGGAGCCAGACGCCAAUGCCGCGCAAGUUCUUCGUCUACUUCUAUGGCACCAGAGAGAUUGCUUUCGUACCCCUGGCAGAUCUUCAGGAGUUUACGGAGAAGACAAAGAAUGAUCUGUUAGAUCGAGCUCCAAAUAUUAAAGUGCAAAGAAAAUAUGUCCAAGCUUAUAAUGAUGCCGUGGAGCAGAUCUGCAAGGCCUAUAGUGAGCUGCCAAAGUCAUCUGAAGCUGCAAGUGGAGCAUUGCCUGAUCAGAGUGAAAAGACUACAGAGCACCUUGCGAAGUCACCUGUUGAUGGUGAGACUCCAGGGUUGGGACGAAUGGAGAGUGAUAGCCCUACUGAUGACUCGAAUGCUUCAGGGCCAGGCUCAGGGACUGAGGAGGACAUGAAAGAUGUUGUUCAUGAAAUAGGGGAUCAUUCUUUAGCAGUUUCUCAAAACAAAACAUCUUCACUACAGGAUCCUGAGCAUCCGAAGAUGAAAAAGCCGGUUGCAUCCAAGUCUGCACUUGACAUGUACCUAGAACAGGAGCAUUCACCAACUUCUGUGCGUGCAGAAAGGGAGACUGAAGAGGUUAAAAUUGAAAAUGAGAGCCGUCCACCAGAAGGUUUUGUUCUGGACCCUAACUUGGAGGUAGUUUGUGCCCUUGAAGUGCCAACGAAAUCUAAAGCCAACAAGCUGUUGAGGAAUGCUGAAAGGAAGGAAAAUAAGCGUGCUGAUGUUUGUAGUUCUACUGGAAGGACUGCUACUGAGGUUGCAUCAGACGUAUUAAACAUGGCGGCUGACAAAGAGAGCAGAGAAUUUAAGAAGUCAAAACUCACAGCAAAACAAUCAGUUGCCACUGGUUCAGAGAGAAGGGACGACCAUAAUAAAAUUGUGCAUGGCAAGCCUGAUAAGCACUUGACUGGAAAAUCAUCUGGUGGGUUUUUUUCCAAUAAGAAGUCUCUGCCUGGUGGUGGCCGACGCAAGAUGGACAGUAAUACUGAUAUACGUCCGGCAAAAAAGCCAAGACUUAUGGACAAGGCUGGUGAAACAGAUAAGACAGUUGUCAAGAGUGAGGCAAAGUUAAGCAUUAAUUAUGAAAAGCAGAAUGAUAUGAAACAUGAGAGAUCUACUGCUGUAGAAACAGGAAAAAACACGAUUCCUAAGACUGGUAUCAGUGAUGAUAGGGCACGGAGAUCAGAUAGUGUUGUAUCACCUGUAUCAAGGCUUCAUUCUGAGGUCGUGGAACCAGCAUCUGAUUCUGCAACUCAGUCAACUGUCGCUGAUUCUGCUAAAAAGGGUUCAAGUAUGAAGGAGGGUGCCUCACGUGUUGAUAGGCAAUUGGCCAAACCCAAGAGAAGAGCGUGUCGCUUUGAUGAUGACGAGGAUGAAGGACAGAGAACACCACUUCACAGAACUUCGGCCAAAUCUAUCUCUACACAUAUAGUCUCAUCUGAGAAGGCAGGUACUCGGGGAAAAUUUUCAUCUCAUGUUGGCAAUGCUUCUUUAAAAAACCCAGGCUCUGCAACAGAAGAGAAAUCAAAAGGUUCCGGGAUGUCACCUGCGAAGCAUGAGCUAGUUUGUUCCUCACCGAAUCAUGAUAAAGUGCAUGCCAGACACCAGGUAAUGGGGAGAAAACCAAUCACAGGGUCAGUUGAUACUUCUGCUGGCAUGGGUAACAGAAUGAACAUGGUUGAUCGCAAAUCCUCUAGUCAAGUAAAAAUGCCUACACCCUCUGAGGUGAAGAAACUUCAUAGUUCUUCUAAACAGUUGCACCUAACAUCUGGGAACUCCCAUUCUCGAAACUAUCCUGCCUCAGAAAAGAACUCCUUGCUUUCCAAAUCGGAAGACACAAAGGCAAAAUUGAAGCCUGGGGCACAUGCUGUUGAGCAUAAGGUGAUUGUGUCAGCAGAACGGGCUGGGAAGCGGGGUCACUUGAAAGAGGAAAGAUCCAUUACUGUUGAUAAAGCAGCUUCUGAACCUAACCCAGACUCUGUCAAGUCAAUGAAACAUCUUAUUGCAGCUGCCCAAGCAAGGAGAAACCUUAUGGCUACUCAUGGAAAGUUUGAUGGGCCUUUGACUGAUAAUGGUGGUAGUACCUCAACACCAUAUGGUUUGCCAGGACUAAGCCCUAGUCCUGUUUUUCGCAUUCCAUCCCCACCCAGAAUUGCUCUUCCUGAGAGUCCUGGUCAACGUAUUGUUCUGAAAAGCCCAAUGGAGCUUGACCAUGAGCAUGGAAAGAGUCCCAAAUCUAGGCAGGCCAGCGGUUCACCUAGCGGUGGUACUGAUGCAGCAAUUGCUCGUGAUGCUUUGGAGGGAAUGAUAGAGACACUAUCAAGGACAAAGGAUAGUAUAGGACGUGCAACACGCCAUGCAAUUGAGUGCUCUAAAUAUGGCAUUGCUGGAGAGAUUGUGGAGCUUCUCGUACAGAAAUUGGAGAGCGAGCCUAAUUUGCAUCGCAGAAUUGACCUCCUUUUUCUUGUGGAUUCUAUAACACAGUGUUCUCAUUCUCAGAGAGGCGUUGCUGGGGCUUCAUAUGUUCCCACUGUUCAAGCUGCAUUGCCUCGUCUUUUGGGUGCUGCUGCUCCACCUGGAUCUAGUGCUCGUGAAAACCGGCGCCAGUGCCUCAAAGUUUUAAGAUUGUGGCUUGAGAGAAAGAUUAUGCCAGAAGAAAUACUCCGAAAGUACAUGGGUGAUAUCGAGGUGCCAAAUGACGAUACUAGCACUAGUUUUAUGCUGAAGCGACCAUCCCGCGCUGAACGCUCUGUAGAUGAUCCUAUUAGGGAGAUGGAUGACAUGCUUGUUGAUGAGUAUGGAAGCAAUGCAACUUUUGAGCUUUCUGGAAUUUUAUCAUCAAAAGUCUUUGAAGACGAUGAAGACUUCCCUCAAAAUAAUGGAUUAUCACCAUUUAUUUCACAGCAUGUUGAAAGUGAUAACAUACGAGAAACUGAAGAUACUAUUGCUCCAGCAUCUGCUGAGGAACACAUUAUUAGACCAGAGAAUGUAACUACUGUUGCUGCUAUUGAAGGUGCUUUGGAAGGCAACAAGCAACAUACUGAUGGUGCUAUCCUUAUUGAACAUGACUCUAGAGAAGAGCCUGGUUCAGAGCAGGCAUUGAUUGAUCAGAAUGAGCUUCCCCCUCUGCCUGAUGGCCCUCCACCGCUUUCAUCAGAUUCACCACCUCCUCCACCGCUUCCAUUAGAUUCACCACCCCCUCUACCGCUUCCAUCAGGUUCAUCACCUCCUCCACCGCUUCCAUCCGAUUCUCCACCUCCUCCACCUCCUUUGCCUCCUUCUCCGCCUCCUGCAACACCGCCGCCGCCACCGCCACUUCCACUUUCGCCAGCUUCACCACCUCCACCACCACCUCCUCCACUGCCUUCUGGACCACCUCCUCAGCCUGCUCCAUCACGUCCGCCAACCCAAGCCCCACCUCUUCCUUCUAUUCUGCCGCCUGUUCCUUCAUCUCCAUCAUCAUUAGGUUAUCAGCCUCCAGCUCCAGAGUACUUCAGGACACCCAAUGGUAACCAAUUGACCCAGAUGACACAAGCUAUUGGAAAUACAACAAACUUCAUUCCUGGUGGAUCAGCCAACGGGCAAACUGCGGUUAAUUUUGUACCUUCAAUGCCAGCAGAGUACGGAAACAAUAACGUGUUUAUGGCACCACAAACGUCUAAUGGUAAUUACCAGUUUCGGCCAACUGGUGUACCUUUUCAACAAGGGAAUUUCAGUGCCUUUCCAUCUGCACAAACACCACCAGUUCAUUCACACUCUCGUAUCACACACAUGAACCCCUUGGGUCAACAAGCUGUACCACCUCCGCGCAAUCCUUAUAUUGUGCAGUCCUUUCCAAACAGUCAGAGCCAUUAUCCAUCUGAAGAACAUUGGCGGAUGGCAUCUGGUAACUUCAGUCCAGAUGACCAACAUAAUAAUUGGCUGGCAGGUGCCAGAGCAUUAUCUUGCUCAGAAGGGUCAUUUGUGCAGGAUGGAUAUUCAAGGUCGAACAUUGACAGAUCUUCAAUGAAUCCUAUGAACCAUCAACAUACUGUUCUAAACCAUUUACCAUCUGGAGCGCCACUACCAGGCCAUGUUGUUCCUCAGAUGCUACCAGCCAGGUCUGAUAUCCACACUCUUAAUUGCUGGAGGCCUUCUUGAUAAAGUUGUAAACUGAACUCCUUGCUUGAGGUUUUGACAUGUGAAGUUCGGUGAACUGGAUGCAAUUUGAAUUGAGUGCAACAAGUGCUGGUUUUGUUUAGUCUGUUUUGUGAUGGAGAUGCACUUACCUGGGGUGUAACGAUGAGAUCUGCCAUAGUCUUUGGAAAGGACAUUUACAAUGUAACUAGUCUUGACAACAGCAUGCAGCAGAUUAAUCUUGCUUAGUGUCUGAAGAAUGUUACUGAAAUGAAGACAAGUUUUGAUUUGUUGAUGCGGAUAUUGGUGACUUGGAUGGAGUCGAGGGGAGCUUCUGUAGCCAGCUAAACGCUUUGGUUUGAAGAGGUAAAAUGUAGAUUUUGUAGAAAAGAUAUGUACAGUUGCUAACACAAUAUAUGGUAGUCCCUCGGCGCAAGCUGGGGUUGUCUAAUGGGGGUGGGGUUCUGAAACCAUUUUGGAUAAUCAGAAGAAAGGCUUACAGGUGGUUAGUUAGGCAUGUAGUGCGAUGCAAUGACACUCUUUGGCUUUUCGAUCUUUUGAAGAGAAAGCAAUGAGACGGGCAGCUUGAGUGAUGUUGCUCUUGUAUGUAUCUGUGAUGGUGCGUGUUUCUGCAUUGCACAAUCAGUUCAUUUGGUGGUGUCUUGGCGAGAUGAUUGGUGCUGCCUGCUGUGGUAAUGGUAGGUGUUGGCAUGCCAUUUAGGUUGACUGAUGCUGCUGCUAGUUUGGUGUUGAACAAUGGUUUGUAUGUGAUUGACGGUAUGCCUGCUAGUUGUAAAGAGGAGUAGAGGACGGUUUAUCCUCAGGCUUGCACAACAUAUUUUCAUUCCCAGGCCAAGCAGAAUUCACAAGUAAAUAUAUUUCCUGCUGGUCUGCUUCAUAACAGACAGCUAGUUGUAUUA